AGAGAGAGAGAGAGAGAGAGAGAGAGCAGAGAGAUAGAGAGCAGUGAGAAAUGCGCACAUCACUGAACCCUUUCGAUUCUAUUGCAAUGUCAAAUACGGUAGUUUUUUGUGUUCUAACUCUCUUGGAGAAUCUGCAACCUCGGCCACGAGCCCAUGAUCUCAACUUGAGCUUGUCGAGGCGGAUGUUUUGCGAGCUGCUGGCGCGCGUGUGCAGCCCCAGCGCCAACGAUAGCCCGAGCAUCCCAGCGGCUGAGGUAGACAACCGGCUUGGCCUUUGCCCUCGCUGCACCGCCGUCGGAGUGCGCGGCCGCAGUGGAGUAGCUCUACAGGGCGGCUGCACAGAGACAGGCAGAAGCUUGUGAAGAGCCAUGACUGUGAUCGAUAGCAGCAAUCUCUGAAUUCUUCUUUUGUUUCCCUUUGAGUUGAUGGGGGCUAGAUGUACUUCAGACAAGGCUUCAACAAGGAAGAGCGGAAAACCACUAAUACUUUUUAGUAUUGGAUGAUGUAGUGCACUAUCUAUCUAUCCAUUCAAGAAAAUUGAUGGCGAUGGAAUCCGCGUGUGUGCGUGUGUGGCUGUGCCUCUGGUCGCUCGAUGGUUUUUUAGGUUCCGUAAAGUAUGAAACUGCUGGUCCUAUUCUGAAUUCUAAUAAUGUUGAUCACCAGGGAGAAAGAGAUCAGAGGACGGAUGGAAGGGAUGGCGACAACGUCAUAUUCGAAAGGGAAUAACGCUGGAAUACCUUGUUGUUGCUACCUGUCAGAGUUCAUAAUUAUGAACUAAAUUACUUGGCACUUCUUAGUUGCCAAACUUGACAGUUGCUAAGACCUUCUGUCGACAAGAUACACAAACAUACAAUUGCAUGUUCUCCCUAGAUCGCGGAUGCAAUCGUGGCAUGAGAUUGUUAAGAGUGAAGACAUGCAUAUGGGUACUAUGUAGAGUAUUCGAAGAAGUCAUCUUCAUGAAACUAGCAGAGGAUAGACAUUAGGAAAAAUGAGAGAUGAGGUGAGUUUUUGUUGUUCACCAUCCAAUUCAAG